UGGGGAAUAUUGGACAAUGGGGGGAACCCUGAUCCAGCCAUGCCGCGUGUGUGAAGAAGGCCUUAUGGUUGUAAAGCACUUUAAGCGAGGAGGAGGGUACUGGUAUUAAUACUACCAGGUACUGGACGUUACUCGCAGAAUAAGCACCGGCUAACUCUGUACCAGCAGCCGCGGUAAUACAGAGGGUGCGAGCGUUAAUCGGAUUUACUGGGCGUAAAGCGUGCGUAGGCGGCUAAUUGAGUCGGAUGUGAAAUCCCCGAGCUUAACUUGGGAAUUGCAUUCGAUACUGGUUAGCUAGAGUGUGGGAGAGGAUGGUAGAAUUCCAGGUGUAGCGGUGAAAUGCGUAGAGAUCUGGAGGAAUACCGAUGGCGAAGGCAGCCAUCUGGCCUAACACUGACGCUGAGGUACGAAAGCAUGGGGAGCAAACAGG
rnacentral:rRNA from 1 species